rnacentral:rRNA from 1 species
AGAUUAGAGUUUGAUCAUGGCUCAGAUUGAACGCUGGCGGAAUGCUUUACACAUGCAAGUCGAACGGUAACAGCAGAGCUUGCUCUGGCUGACGAGUGGCGGACGGGUGAGUAAUAUAUCGGAACGUGUCCAAUAAUGGGGGAUAACUAGCCGAAAGGUUGGCUAAUACCGCAUACGCCCUGAGGGGGAAAGCUGGGGAUUCUUCGGAACCUGGCGUUAAUGGAGCGGCCGAUACCUGAUUAGCUAGUUGGUGGGGUAAAAGCCUACCAAGGCAACGAUCAGUAGCUGGUCUGAGAGGACGACCAGCCACACUGGGACUGAGACACGGCCCAGACUCCUACGGGAGGCAGCAGUGGGGAAUUUUGGACAAUGGGGGCAACCCUGAUCCAGCCAUUCCGCGUGAGUGAAGAAGGCCUUCGGGUUGUAAAGCUCUUUCGCAAGGGAAGAAACGAUAUGGGUUAAUAGCCUAUGUUAAUGACGGUACCUUGACAAGAAGCACCGGCUAACUACGUGCCAGCAGCCGCGGUAAUACGUAGGGUGCAAGCGUUAAUCGGAAUUACUGGGCGUAAAGCGUGCGCAGGCUGUUUUGUAAGUCAGAUGUGAAAUCCCCGAGCUCAACUUGGGAACUGCGUUUGAAACUACAAGACUAGAAUAGGUCAGAGGGGGGUAGAAUUCCACGUGUAGCAGUGA